GAUGAACGCUAGCGAUAGGCCUAACACAUGCAAGUCGAGGGGCAUCACAUGAAGUAGCAAUACGGAUGGUGGCGACCGGCGCACGGGUGAGUAACACGUAUGCAACCUGCCUUCAACAAGGGGAUAACCCGUUGAAAGACGGACUAAUACCCUAUAACACAGGGGUCCCGCAUGGGAAUAUUUGUUAAAGGACAACCGGUUGAAGAUGGGCAUGCGUUCCAUUAGCUAGUUGGCGGGUAACGCCCACCAAGGCAACGAUGGAUAGGGGAACUGAGAGGUUUAUCCCCCACACUGGUACUGAGACACGGACCAGACUCCUACGGGAGGCAGCAGUGAGGAAUAUUGGUCAAUGGACGCAAGUCUGAACCAGCCACGUCGCGUGAAGGAAGACGGCCCUACGGGUUGUAAACUUCUUUUAUACGGGAAUAAAGUGCCCCACGCGUGGGGUUUUGCAUGUACCGUAUGAAUAAGGAUCGGCUAAC
rnacentral:rRNA from 1 species